UGUAGGAUCACUAAAGUAAAAAAUCUGUAGGGCUGAAAGUUCUGCAUUUGAAUAGGAAAUACUAAUAUGAACUUAUGAUGUAUUUUAUCUUUUAAAGUAGCACAUAUUUUCUAACUUACGACAUUGAAAAGCCCCCAAAUAAUAGUAACUCAGUAGCAAUAAACACCACUAAUACCUAAACUAUGUUAUCUAAAAGUCAUUUUCCACCAAAAGGAACCAAGGAUCCUUAAGGAGAUAGUUAAUUUCAGGUCUGGGCCAGUGAUGUGGUUUGGCUCUGUCUCCCCACCCAAAUCUCAUGUUGAAUUGCAGUUCCCAAUGUUGGGGGAGGGACCUGGUGGGAGGUGAUUAGAUCAUUGGGGCAGAUUUCCUCCAUGCUGUUCUCAUGAUAGUGAAUGAGUUCUCAGGAAAUCUGAUGGUUUAAAAGUGUGUGGCACUUCCCCCUUUGCUCUCUUAAAGCAGUUUGUCAAACCAGACAGCAAGGAAACUAUCACAAUUUUUCAGGACCAUUCUCAAGGGUCUCCUGAGUCAAACUGAAGAGACUCCCACUGGCCCAAACUGGGACAACAACCUAGCAAGACAGGCCAACAUUCAAAUUCAGGAAAUACAGAGAACACCACAAGGGAAAACUGGCUAGCCAUAUGCAGAAAACUGAAACCAGAUCUCUUCCUUACACCUUAUACAAAAAUUAACUCAAGAUGGGUUAAAGACUUAAACGUAAGACCUAAAACCAUAAAAACCCUAGAAGAAAACCUAGGCAAUACCUUUCAGGACAUAGGCAUGGGCAAGAACUUCAUGACUGAAACAUCAAAAGCAAUUGCAACAAAAGCCAAAGUUGAUAAAUGGGAUGUAAUUAAACUAAAGAGCUUCUUCA
rnacentral:lncRNA from 10 species